CGCAUUGCCGUAAAAAAACUGAGUUCAAACACGGAAUGAGAUGAAAAUAUAAUCCGCGUUUAAGAAGAAUACAAGUGACAGUUUCACGCAUAUCGAUUAAAUGGUAUGGUCUCGGCAGCAAUAAUCCGGGUCCUCUAUACAACAGCAUGCCACAUCCCAACAGCAGGGACUACGACGGCGACGUUGUGCAGGAUGCAGCAUCCCCAUUUAAGGUUUAGCAGCCAGCUAUGACUAUUCCAAUUUCAAAGGUUAAGAUGUUGGUUUACAGUAAAAUAGUUUUUAGUCACUACCUAUUUAUUUACCAAAAUUUUUUAUAUGGGAAAAUCAUUUUCCAAGGUACUAACAAAUUUUUACACAGUUAUAAUGUAAGUAAUAUUGUAUACUGCAAAACUUUCAGAUGACAUAAUUAUUUUUAAUUUUGUUCUUUUUGUUCUUUUGUUUUUGCUCCUUAUUUUCUAUAAAUUUCACUCAACAGCUUUUUUUGUGGAUAAACUUUAUAUAGUUGCAAAAAUCGAGAAAUGAACGCAAUAUAAUCGGCGAAUGUAAAGAACAAGUAAUUUGCAUUAUUAUUGAAAGUCGCGUGCACAACUUAAUUUUAGGGAAAGAGCGGGGAAGGGUGGAAGUUAAGAGUUAAGUGUUAAGUGUGCAUAAGAUAAUAGUAUACAUAGAAUGUCCAGUCAGAAUUAACUCUUACCUUGCUGCACGCUAGCCCUAAUAUUUUCUGGUCUCGGCCGCCGGUAAAUACAACAUUGAAUAAGUUGCAUACUAUGAUUAAAACCGCAACGGCAAACUAAUUCAUUGUGUUUUUCAGAAACGUCAACAUGGCAUGAUAACAAAGUUAAAUUUAUUGCGACAAAUUGCAGAGGUCAACGCGAUGAGCACGCACACCAUUCAAGUCAGGAACUCAGCAAAUUUUGGCACUUGGUUACAAAUUGGCUCUUAAUAGGUCAAUCGCGUUACUUGAUUCCUUGAUACUAGUCACUGGCCCAUAACUCGAUCUACUAGAGGCGACAUGCAACCAUAUUCGCAAAAAGUGUAACAAUGAGGUCGCUGAGGCAGGUACCAAAAAUUAUGUUUUUCUUAUUCUUUUUUACUAAUCGGUUUCCGUUCCCAUAACAUGAUUUGUUAUCCAUUAAAUGCCGAAAACUGAGACGUCCAUGACGAACUACGAUUGAAACUGUUUAGCACAACGUCUAACUUUAACUCUGGUCAAAUGUCGGGCAUUUCCGAAAUACGAAAGCCGAAAAUGUCAAAAUAAAGUUUUUCUAACCCGAACAACUAGCAAUCCUAAUACAUAAUCGGUAUGAAUACCCAAAUUUAACUUUAAAGACUGAAGGAUGGAAAGAGGGACAAAAUAAAGUUUUUCUAAGCCAAAAA